AACGUACGCUGGCGGCAUGCCUAACACAUGCAAGUCGAACGAGAUCUUCGGGUCUAGUGGCGCACGGGUGCGUAACGCGUGGGAAUCUGCCCUUUGGUUCGGAAUAACAGUUGGAAACGACUGCUAAUACCGGAUGAUGACGAAAGUCCAAAGAUUUAUCGCCAGAGGAUGAGCCCGCGUAGGAUUAGCUAGUUGGUGUGGUAAAGGCGCACCAAGGCGACGAUCCUUAGCUGGUCUGAGAGGAUGAUCAGCCACACUGGGACUGAGACACGGCCCAGACUCCUACGGAGGCAGCAGUGGGGAAUAUUGGACAAUGGGCGAAAGCCUGAUCCAGCAAUGCCGCGUGAGUGAUGAAGGCCUUAGGGUUGUAAAGCUCUAUUACCCGGGAUGAUAAUGACAGUACCGGGAGAAUAAGCUCCGGCUAACUCCGUGCCAGCCGCCGCCGUAA
rnacentral:rRNA from 1 species